UAAGCACAACCCCAAAAGAGGGGGAGCGGAGGAAAGUGAAGUAAAAUAAGUAGAAAUAGAAACAAUUGACACAAAGAAGAUUGAAGCGAUCAAAAGUUGGCCUAGGUCUUCGACAUAGACCGAAAUACGCGGUUUUUGGGGAUUAGCCAGGUAUUACAGAAAAGUGGUGAAGGACUUUGCUUCUAUUACGGCACUAUUAACGAAGUUAACUCAGAAGGCCGUGAAAUUUCAGUGAACCGGUACGUGUGAAUGUAGUUUCCAGUACCGGAGGAAAAAUUAAUUUCAACUCCAGUCUAGCUCUUCCCGAAGGGCCAGCCGGGUAUGUUACUUAUUAUGGUGCUUUUGGUAUUGGGAUAGAUUAUGAAUUAGUGCAGCACAGUCAAGUUAUGGCCUAAGCUCCCCGGCAGUUCAAAUCGCACGAAGGAAAUUAUCCCAUACAUAAUUUGGAAUUAUCCGCGGCGAUUCAUGUUUUGAGAAUGUGGCGGCAUUACUUACAUGGGGUCUACGCUGGUAUUUAUACAGACCAUAAGAGCCCCAGUACAUUUUUAAGCAAAAGGGAGCUAAAUCUGCGGCAUAAAUGGCUUGAAUUAUUGAAAGAUUAUGAUGUCGAUAUUCUAUAUCAUCCCGUAAAAGCCAAUGUGGUAGCUAAUGCACUUAGCCGUAAGUCCAUGGGUAGUUUGACUGAUGUACAGUUUGAUGAGAAAGAAUUGGUUCGUGGAAAUUUAUCAGUUAGCUAGCCUUAGAGUCCGUUUGGUCGAUUCUGGAGAUAUUGGGAUUUUGUUCGAGAAGUUGCUGAAUCGUCGAUUAUAGAAGAGGUAAAACAACAUCAGUUUGAGGAUCCUAUACUUGUACAGUACAAAGAUACGACCUUUGAUAAAGAAAAGACUUAGUUUGAAAUUUCAUCUGAAAAGGAUAUUAUUAUACGGAGGCAGAUUAUGUGUACCUGACGUUGCAGGGCUGUGAUGAUCAAUUAUGGGCGAAGCACUUAAUGUUCGACAUUCUGUUCAUUCUGAAUCCACAAAAAUGUAUCAUGAUCUAAAAUAUUUAUGCUGAUGGGAUGGUAUGAAAAAGGGACACUGCAGAGUUCGCUGGCCAAUGCCCAAAUUGUCAGUAAGUCAAGAUCGAGUAUCAAGGGCCGGACAGGUUGCUUCAGGAAUUAGAAACUUCAGUUUGGGAACGAGGAACGAUUCGCAUGAACUUCAUUAUAGGCUUACCGCGCACUCAACGCGGAUACGAUUCUAUUCGGAGUAUUGUUGAUAGAUUAAUGAAAUCAGCCCAUUUUCUUCCAGGCAGGACUACUUGUUCGGCUGAAGGUUAUGACAGAGUGUAUAUUAAUGAGAUAAUAAGACUUCACGGGAUUCCUAUAUCUAUUAUAACCGACUGAGGUGCUCAGUUUACGGCUAACUUCUGAAGAUCGUCCCAGGAAGGACUGGAGACUCAGAUGGGUCAUAACACAAUAUUUCAUCCUCAGUCCGACGGACAGGCCGAGUGUGCUAUUCAGAUACCGGAAGAUAUGCUAUGGGCCUGUGUUAUUGAUUUUAGAGGUUGUUGGGGUGAUCAUUGUCGCUAAGUGAAUUUGUUUAUAAUAAAAAUCGUUAUCACUCCAGUAUUCAGAUGGCACCAUAUGAGGCUUUGUAUGGCAGGAAAAGCAGAUCUCCGAUUGGUUGGUUUGACGUGAGUGAGAUUCAGUUAAUUGGUCCAGAUGUGAUCCAGCAAGCAGUCGAUAAAGUGAAACUGAUUCGAGAGCGACUAUUAGCGGCCCCGAGUCGACAGAAAUCUUAUGCUGAUAAACGACGUCGACCGUUAGAGUUCCAGAUUAGCAAUUGGGUAUUUCUGAAAGAGUCACCUAUGAAAGGCGUUAUGAGAUUUGGCAAGAAAGGAAAGCUCAGUCCGAGAUAUAUUGGGCCUUAUCAGAUUGUUCGCAAAAUAGGCAAGGUGGCCUAUGAAUUGGAUUUGCCAGCUGAUUUGGGAGCGGUACACCCGGUAUCCCAUGUUCCUAUGCUUCGUAAAUAUAUUGGUGACCCUUCCAGAAUUUUUCCUACAAACGAUAUACAGGUCACCGAGGAGCUAUUUUAUGAAGAGCAACCUAUAGCCAUAUUGGAUCGUCAGGUAAGAAAGUUGCGGAAUAAAGAUGUGGCUUCUGUUAAAGUACUGUGGCGGAAUAAUAAUAACCGCGAGGAAUUAACCUGGAAGGCUGAGGAGCAGAUGAUGAAAAAAAAAAAUCCUCACCUAUUUUCGGCACCUUCAGGUAAUCCAAAUUCUUUGUUUGAUUAUGUUGAUUUGUGAUCGAUUUGUAUAUGAUGGCUAUAAAAGAAACUCCCCCGAAUUUGAGUAAGAUUAGUAGCAUUAAUCCAACAUUCGAGGACAAAUGUUCCUAAGGGGGGGAGGAUGUUACGUACCGUAUUUUUAUACAUUGGGACAACCCGGAUUAACUAUGACAAUUAAGGGCCAAGACUAUUCCGGGAUUUGACGUCGGGACUUUUGACCAUUUGAUUUUAUUUUGAGACAUAAGUUGAAUAUGAAAUUGAUGGCAUUGGACACUUAGGAAAAAUUGGGACCACAAUUCAUAAAAUUGGAAUUUAAAAGUCUUGCACCAAAAGCCAUGGUGGCCGUGUGGACUUGAAAUGGUCCCACACAUUGUGUGGCCAAUUUUAAUUGGUCCAACACAUGUGUGGGCCAUAAACAAAGGGAGAUAUUUGUGGAUACAAAAAAAAAAAAAAAAAGACUAAGUCAUCUUUCUCAUUUCCCACUUCUACACUUAGAGAAAAAUAACAAGACUUGGAGAGCCUCCACUCCCCCAUGGUUCUCGGCCACAACCAAGAAAAAUCAAGUCCCAUUUUUGCCUCUCUAAAAUUAUUUCUUUGGUAUAAACCCACUAUUUGGAGGUCCCUAAGUAGCGUGGAAGUAUUGUUUGGGUCAUUCAACCACUCAUUUUUCCCAUUUACAAACCCUAGCCUAUUGGUGGAUUGAAGAAUAAAGGUGAGUUCUAAUCUUGUUUUUGGAGUUAUAAAUGUUGUAUGCAUAUUGUAGUAUGCUAAAAUGGAUAAAAAUCAUGAAAUAUGGAAUGUUGAAGUUGGGUCUUGUGUUGGGUGUGUUGACCGUGUGAAGUAUAUGUGUGUGGUGUGGUAUUGGGUUGACGAAUUAAUUGCUUGUAGCAUAUUGAUUGUCGUAGAGUGGAGAAGAGAAUAAAAAUCAUCGAUACAUGUAUAUGUGUAGUGUAGCCGUGUAUAUAGCCUCCAAAUGGUAGCAAAGAAUGAAUUAAUAUCGCUUAGCGUCGUAAUGGUUGUUGUGAUGAUUUGUAUGUUGGAAAUGAGAGUUAAAUGUCCCGAAUUGAUAUAGUAAGCGUUGCGGACUGAUUUGGAGAACUUUGUGCAUUUAAUGCAAUCCUUAUAUAUGAGAACCAUUAACAUAUGAAUAUGUGUAGUGUGAAUGAAUGUGAGUCAUAGAUUAUGCCGAAUAUCGCAUUAUUAUCGCUUAAGCGCUUUCGUGUCGUCGUUACGAAUUUUAGUUUGGAAUUGAGCAUUUAAUGACUUAAGAUUGAUGUUGAGAUUGUACGGGCUGAUUUGAGGGUUAUUGUGCGUUGAUGUAAUUUGUAUAUUUUAUGAAAAUGGUAUCGUUAUAUUGUGAAUUGUGAUACAAAACAUGAAUUGAAAGUCGGAAGUGUGCCCAGUGGGCUGCUCACGGGUAGGGGCUGUUUUCGGCCAAAAAUUUGGAGAAAUUGUGGAUUGUUGGAAAAAUUAUGUGAAUUUUUUAGAAUGUUCUUGAAUGUUGUUAGUAUGGGUUUGGGUUAAUAAUCGAAUGUACGAACGAUAUUGUGGCUUGAAAGUAAGCCAUUGAAUUGAAUAAUUGGAAAGUUGUCGAAUGGUGUAAAAGAGAGCUACUAUUAUUAUUUUGCCUUUCGAAUUGAUUAUCGAUGUUGCUAGGUUGGUUAUUGUGGUUGUUGUUGUUGAUUUUGAGCGAGUUAAAUUCUCGGGAUGGCCUAUUUAUAGGGGAAAUGCUGCCGAAUUUUCUGUAGAAUUUAAUGUUAGUUGGAAUAAAUGGCUUAAGUGCCUAUGUUUAAUAUUGGAUAUUCGUUGGCAUAUUUGUAGACCUUGGGGAGCCCGAGGCGUAGAUUGGAAUUUACUUUAUAUUGGCCAUCUUGGAGUGCGUACGAGGUACAGACGCACAGUUUGGUGAUCUACCCAUUUAGGACACCCUAUUCUGCUGUUUGGAGUGCUCUUCUCAUUUCAGAGCACACAUUUUGGUAUAUAUUCGUUCGCCAUGUAUAUAUGUAUUUGUUCAGGGGCACGGCGGGGCCCUGUCCCGCCAUAUGAUUCGGUUUGUCUGUUUAGAGGUCUGUAGACGUAUUUGUGGGUGUGUGUGCCUACUUCUGUACGGAUGUGUUUGCAUGACUCUAUUCGUUAUGGCAGCCUCGUCGGCGUGCAUUUUGUAUAUGUUUGUGGCAGCCUUGUCGGCGUGCAUUUGUAUAUGCGUUUUGGGCCGUUGUGCCAUUUGACAGCCUUGUCGGCUUUUGACAUAUUUGAUAGCCUUGCCGGCUUUUUGAUAUAUGUGCAUAUGUUCGGCGAUGUAUAUUCCGCCGCCUCUUCUGAUUCUGAUAUAAUGUUUUGUACGCGCAAUCGCGCAAGAUAA